rnacentral:tRNA from 1 species
AAGGAUUAUAAAUCAAAAUAAGCUUCUAACUUAAUUUUUAGCGAAAUAUAUCGUUAAUAAUCCAA